rnacentral:rRNA from 1 species
GCAAGAUUAAAACUCAAAGGAAUUGACGGGGACCCGCACAAGCGGUGGAGCAUGUGGUUUAAUUCGAUGCAACGCGAAGAACCUUACCACCUAUUGACAUCUUGAUCGCGGAGCUUGUAAUGAGCUCUUUCAGUUCGGCUGGAUCAAUGACAGGUGUUGCAUGGCUGUCGUCAGCUCGUGUCGUGAGAUGUUGGGUUAAGUCCCGCAACGAGCGCAACCCUCGUCCUUAUUUGCCAGCACGUUAUGGUGGGAACUAUAAGGAUACUGCCCGUGACAAACGGGAGGAAGGUGGGGACGACGUCAAGUCAUCAUGGCCCUUACUAGGUGGGCUACACACGUGCUACAAUGGCAGUGACAAUGAGCAGCUUAUCCGCGAGGAUUGGCUAAUCUUUAAACACUGCCUCAGUUCGGAUUGGAGUCUGCAACUCGACUCCAUGAAGUUGGAAUCGCUAGUAAUCGUGGAUCAGCAUGCCACGGUGAAUACGUUCCCGGGUCUUGUACACACUGCCCGUCAUGCCAUGGGAAUUGGUCUUACCUUAAGCUAGUGAGCUAACCUUCGGGAAGCAGCUAUCCACGGUAAAAUCAGUGACUGGGGUAAAGUCGUAACAAGGUA